rnacentral:tRNA from 1 species
GGGGUCUUAGCUCAGCUGGGAGAUCAUCUGCCUUACAAGCAGAGGGUCACAGGUUCGAGCCCUGUAGGCCCCA